CCUACGGGUGGCAGCAGUCGAGAAUCUUUCACAAUGGGGGAAACCCUGAUGGAGCGACGCCGCGUGGAGGAUAAGGUCUUCGGAUUGUAAACUCCUGUCAUGCGUGAACAAGGCAGCCAGGUUAAUAACUUGUGCUGAUUGAUGGUAACGCAAGAGGAAGAGACGGCUAACUCUGUGCCAGCAGCCGCGGUAAUACAGAGGUCUCAAGCGUUGUUCGGAAUCACUGGGCGUAAAGGGUGCGUAGGUGGCGUGGUAAGUCAGAUGUGAAAGCCCGGGGCUCAACCUCGGAACUGCAUCCGAUACUACCAUGCUAGAGUACUGAAGAGGUGACUAGAAUUCUAGGUGUAGCAGUGAAAUGCGUAGAUAUCUAGAGGAAUACCAAAGGCGUAGGCAGGUCACUGGGCAGUUACUGACACUGAGGCACGAAGGCCAGGGGAGCAAACGGGAUUAGAUACCCUUGUAGUC
rnacentral:rRNA from 1 species